AUGGGUAAUUGGACCCCACUUCUUUGGAGAAAUUUGAUACAAAAUUCCCACAUGCUGAAUGGGAAAAUCGCUGUCUCAGCAGAGAAGGAAGAGCUUCUUUCUCAGAGAGGAAAAGGAAAAGACUGGCAAAGUUCUCCCUGCAGAAAGGCCUUGGAAAGGUGCCUGUUUGGAAGAACCUUGAAAGCCAGCUCCAGGCAUCUCUGUUUUAACCCACAAGAUUUGGGGUCAGAGCCUAUUGUGUGUCUCUCUGGAGCACCAGCAUCAGUCCAGAUAGUGACACACUGGAUCCCAUAUUCACAAAGGAAGCAAAUGCUCAAGGACGUUUGAAGAACUAAUGCAUCACAGACAGGGGAUUUGAACUCACAUCUGUUGACACCGGCUGCAGUGAACACAUCACCCUGAUCAUCAGGGACAUUGAUGUCAGUUAUUGGUGGCUGAUGCACAGCGACAGGACAGAUGUGGAAUGAGGAUUUAAUCAAUCGUGCCUCUGUAAUAAAGCCUCCAUAAAAAUCCCAAAGGAUGGGGUUUGCAGACCUCCUAGGUUAGUGAACCUGUGGAGAUUUGGGGGAGUGGUGUGCCUGGAGAGGGCAGGGAAGCUCUGCACCCCUUCCCCAUACCUCUGUCUGUUCCUGAAUUAUAUCCUUUUAUAAUAAACUGGUAAUCUAGUUUAAAAAAAAAAAAAGAAUGAGGAAGGAUGGCACCUUGGUGCCUCAGUUCAUUAAGCAUCUGAUUCUUGAUUUCAGCUGAGAUCAUGAUCGCAGGAUCACGGAAUCUAGCCCCAUGUCCGGCUCCACACCCAGCUUAAGAUUCUCUCUCUCCCUCUUCCUCUGCCCCACCCCCACCUCUUAAAAAAAAAAUCAGAGAUGGAAUGAGAUACGCACAAAUGUUGCUUAAGUCCCUAUAUCCUUGGAAAUUUCAUUCCAAACCAAGUUUUCAAGGGUAGUCCCAUCUACUGAGAAUUCCAGCUAUCUUGUGAGUGACAGAACAGAGUCAUCUAAAGGGGUGGGAAGACCAGGAUGACCCAGGCGAGUAGACUCACUACAAGAACUGGGAUCCUCAGAGUGAUUUCAGGUCACGCUGCAGACACCUGAGGCAGCAGAGGUCAGGCUGUAAGCAAGACAAGGGGCACCUCCGAGAACGUGCUCUCACUCAGGCAAAUUCAGAGAAGUUUUGGGACGCCUGGGUGGCUCAGUGGGUUAAAGCCUUUGCCUUCGGCUCAGGUGAUGGUCCCAGAGUCCGAGGGUCCUGGGAUCGAGCCCCGCAUCGGGCUCUCUGCUCAGCAGGGAGCCUGCUUCCCCAUCUCUCUCUCUCUGCCUGUCUCUCUGCCUACUUGUGAUCUCCGU
rnacentral:lncRNA from 1 species